UACGAGUACCCCGAGCGUUAUCCGGAAUUAUUGGGCGUAAAGGGUGAGUAGGUUGUCAUGAUAGUCGGAUGUUAAAGUCCUCGGGCUUAACCUGAGGAAUGCAUUCGAAACGUCAUAACUAGAAUAUGUGAGAGGUCUGUGGAACUCUAUGUGUAGGGGUGAAAUCCGUUGAUAUAUAGGGGAACACCAAAAGCGAAGGCAGCAGACUGGCACAUUAUUGACACUGAAUCACGAAAGCGUGGGUAGCGAAUGGG
rnacentral:rRNA from 1 species